ensembl:lncRNA
UAAGCAUAUAACGUAUACAACUGAUUGCUAAUAGUUUUAGGUAAAUAUAUAAGUAAAUUAAUUAGUUAAAUUAAAAAAAAAAAAAAUAAUAAUAAUAAUUGCUUCGUAGGUUUCCCUGAUGAGCGGUCAGUACAGUGUUGAGACAUCGUUAUUCGAAAAUUUGUGACAGUGGAUGCCGAUAUUAGCCAAUUAGAAUCAAAGUAUUAAAAAUGUAAACUAAAUAUUUUUCUUCCUUUAAAGUACACACACAUAUAUAAACGUGAGGAUAAUGUUGCACAGCGAGAGUGACCUUGGUCAGAAUUAUGUAUGUUCAAAAUCGCGUGGGCAAAGCAAGCGUUCAAUAGUUGUUUGAGAAAGUGUGGGCGCCCAGAGGGACAGAGCGGCUCUGUAUCUCAGUGCAACCAGUGCUGGCGGGGCUCAGACAUUCAGCUGCGGCCGUUUCUGUCAAUAUCUGUUCUAUCUGCUCUAUUUCACCUCUGACAAUCGCUGAAGGAUCGAUAGGUCUGAACAGGAGUUUGUCGCGAGCUUGAUUCUCCCUCUUCGAGUUCAACCAUAUGAAUUACUCCCGACGCGUCGCCAUUUGGUUACUCGCGUUAUCUGUACAAAUUAUACAGGCAUGUGCGUAUUGCGGUAGAUUGGAGAUGAUAUCCGUUUGGCUCCUGUUUUUAAAGCUGCUGAGAGCCACAGCUGGUGUGCGAAGGUCAUAUGAAAGUGAACUAAAUGACGACAAAAGCACCUCUGUAAAUCAGCAACAAAAAGAGCAGGAAUACCUCUCUGAAACAGUCACCAUGGAGACCAGCCAGUUUUCAGAAAUGGCUGAUCUAACAGACUGUAAAAUGGAUCCUGAGUUUACAGAGGACCAGACAUGCCAAUUCACUGAGGAGGUGAAUGAAUGUUUUGUCAGAGUGCCUUUCUCAGAGUGCCUGGAUACCAAACAGAGCAACCCACAAGAAGAUCUAUGUGGGCAAGAAAACAAAGCCAUAACUAAUGAAUGUGAUAGCUCAGGUGAAUCUGAUGGAAGCAAAGACUCUCAAGAAGGUAUUCUGGUCAAGGUCAACAAACAAAAUGACCCAGACAGCAGAGGAUAUUUGGCCUUUGAGUCUAAUGAAGACCCUCUCCUGAAUGACAAACCAGAAGAAGAAAUGGAAAUCAACAAUUUGGAUGAUGCCCAGGAGGAAGAACGUGAUGAACCUGAAGAGAGGGUGGAAGCUCAAGACAAUUCCGUUCUGGAAGCACAAGAAGGAUCUGUGCUGGAAAUACAAGAAGAAUCUGUGCUGAAAGAACAAGAAGAAUCUGUGCUGGAAAUACAAGAAGAAUCUGUGCUGAAAUAACAAGAAUAAUCUGUGCUGGAAAAACAAAAAGAAUCUGUGCUGGAAAAACAAGAAGAAACUGAGCUGGAAGAACAAAAAGAAUCUGUGUUGGAAGUACAAGAAA